GAUAGAAUAAUCCAAGACGAGUCCUUGAGACUUGUUUACUGUGUGAAUUGUACGCAAUCUUUUAGGGGUCGGUCUCUGUGCCGUUAAAUGGUCGUCCGCCGCUUGGCGUGCGUUCGGUCAGCCCCGACUUUAUGUUUUUACAAACUUUGUUUAUUCAGUCUGAGAACCAAUAGUGUUGGAACACGAAAAAGAGAAAGACA
rnacentral:misc_RNA from 1 species